rnacentral:rRNA from 1 species
CACGUAGGGGGCGAGCGUUGUCCGGAUUUAUUGGGCGUAAAGAGCUCGUAGGCGGCUUUUUAAGUCAGGGGUGAAAUCCUGGAGCUCAACUCCAGAACUGCCUUUGAUACUGAAGAGCUUGAGUCCGGGAGAGGUGAGUGGAACUGCGAGUGUAGAGGUGAAAUUCGUAGAUAUUCGCAAGAACACCAGUGGCGAAGGCGGCUCACUGGCCCGGUACUGACGCUGAGGUGCGAAAGCGUGGGGAGCAAACAGG